CCAUAGAAAUUGUCAAGGGGACUCAGCAACAGCCUAGUGAACAAAAAACAUAAACUGGGUACCAGAUGAAGUGUUUUGAAUCAAAUUAGGAAGAACUUGUGAGUGAAAUUCCAGUAACAACUGUCAUGAAGAUGUGGUGUCUCCUACCUUCAGCAGCUGGCAGAUUUUUCCCAAGGUCUUAUUUCCUCAGCUUCUGCUAUACUUCUUUGGCUGUUUGUGUGGACACCAUGCAAAGACCUCAUCAAUACAGACCUGCAAUAUAAGGAAAUGCAAUAAUUUCUUCAGUAAUAAACUUCUAAAGAAUAUGAGGGGAAUACGAGGUGAAAUUAAAUACUGCAGAAAAAUCUACUUCAGAGCUCCCACUGAAUUCCUCUAAGGCCAAGAUUUCAUAGUUCUGCCAGGUCAUGUCCUGAUCAACACUGAAAUGAUGCUCAGUUUGCAAAGCUCUUUUACUGUUCGAACGUCCUCUGGAACUUUUGAUAUAUUUCAUAAGAAACGUAAGAAUGAAUAAAAUAAAGGUCAGGGAGAAAACACACCAAGCUGACAAAUUCUUUCCAGCAGCCAAAAUUGCGUUGUGUGUGGGCUUUUAAAUAAUUAUUAUACAUACACAGGCAAAUUGGCCUAGUGAAUAUGCUGUAAAAUUGCUAAUGAUGAAUGUCUUAGCCCAUGCCCAAAUGCUGCUGUAGGUUAAUGUUUAGUGUACCCAGUGACUGGAAUGGUGAUUCUCCUGGGCAGAAGGUGGCAGUUUUUGGCCAAGUAUUAUUAGGUAAUGUCAAGGCAAACAUGUAUAACAGAGAAAAACAGUGUAGUUGC